rnacentral:rRNA from 1 species
CGUGAGGCAUGCUGGAGGUAUCAGAAGUGCGAAUGCUGACAUAAGUAACGAUAAAGCGGGUGAAAAGCCCGCUCGCCGGAAGACCAAGGGUUCCUGUCCAACGUUAAUCGGGGCAGGGUGAGUCGACCCCUAAGGCGAGGCCGAAAGGCGUAGUCGAUGGGAAACGGGUUAAUAUUCCCGUACUUGGUGUUACUGCGAAGGGGGGACGGAGAAGGCUAUGUUGGCCGGGCGACGGUUGUCCCGGUUUAAGCGUGUAGGCUGGUUUUCCAGGCAAAUCCGGAAAAUCAAGGCUGAGGCGUGAUGACGAGGCACUACGGUGCUGAAGCAACAAAUGCCCUGCUUCCAGGAAAAGCCUCUAAGCAUCAGGUAACAUCAAAUCGUACCCCAAACCGACACAGGUGGUCAGGUAGAGAAUACCAAGGCGCUUGAGAGAACUCGGGUGAAGGAACUAGGCAAAAUGGUGCCGUAACUUCGGGAGAAGGCACGCUGACACGUAGGUGAAGUGAUUUACUCAUGGAGCUGAAGUCAGUCGAAGAUACCAGCUGGCUGCAACUGUUUAUUAAAAACACAGCACUGUGCAAACACGAAAGUGGACGUAUACGGUGUGACGCCUGCCCGGUGCCGGAAGGUUAAUUGAUGGGGUCAGCGCAAGCGAAGCUCCUGAUCGAAGCCCCGGUAAACGGCGGCCGUAACUAUAACGGUCCUAAGGUAGCGAAAUUCCUUGUCGGGUAAGUUCCGACCUGCACGAAUGGCGUAAUGAUGGCCAGGCUGUCUCCACCCGAGACUCAGUGAAAUUGAACUCGCUGUGAAGAUGCAGUGUACCCGCGGCAAGACGGAAAGACCCCGUGAACCUUUACUAUAGCUUGACACUGAACAUUGAGCCUUGAUGUGUAGGAUAGGUGGGAGGCUUUGAAGUGUGGACGCCAGUCUGCAUGGAGCCGACCUUGAAAUACCACCCUUUAAUGUUUGAUGUUCUAACGUGGACCCGUUACCCGGGUUGCGGACAGUGUCUGGUGGGUAGUUUGACUGGGGCGGUCUCCUCCUAAAGAGUAACGGAGGAGCACGAAGGUUGGCUAAUCCUGGUCGGACAUCAGGAGGUUAGUGCAAUGGCAUAAGCCAGCUUGACUGCGAGCGUGACGGCGCGAGCAGGUGCGAAAGCAGGUCAUAGUGAUCCGGUGGUUCUGAAUGGAAGGGCCAUCGCUCAACGGAUAAAAGGUACUCCGGGGAUAACAGGCUGAUACCGCCCAAGAGUUCAUAUCGACGGCGGUGUUUGGCACCUCGAUGUCGGCUCAUCACAUCCUGGGGCUGAAGUAGGUCCCAAGGGUAUGGCUGUUCGCCAUUUAAAGUGGUACGCGAGCUGGGUUUAGAACGUCGUGAGACAGUUCGGUCCCUAUCUGCCGUGGGCGCUGGAGAACUGAGGGGGGCUGCUCCUAGUACGAGAGGACCGGAGUGGACGCAUCACUGGUGUUCGGGUUGUCAUGCCAAUGGCACUGCCCGGUAGCUAAAUGCGGAAGAGAUAAGUGCUGAAAGCAUCUAAGCACGAAACUUGCCCCGA